GAUGAACGCUGGCGGCGUGCCUAAUACAUGCAAGUCGAGCGAACAGACGAUGAGCUUGCUCCUCUGACGUUAGCGGCGGACGGGUGAGUAACACGUGUAUAACCUACCUAUAAGACUGGGAUAACUUCGGGAAACCGGAGCUAAUACCGUAUAAUAUAUUGAACCGCAUGGUUCAAUAGUGAAAGACGGUUUUGCUGUCACGUAUAGAUGGAUCCGCGCCGCAUUAGCUAGUUGGUAAGGUAACGGCUUACCAAGGCAACGAUGCGUAGCCGACCUGAGAGGGGGAUCGGCCACACUGGAACUGAGACACGGUCCAGACUCCUACGGGAGGCAGCAGUAGGGAAUCUUCCGCAAUGGGCGAAAGCCUGACGGAGCAACGCCGCGUGAGUGAUGAAGGUCUUCGGAUCGUAAAACUCUGUUAUUAGGGAAGAACAAAUGUGUAAGUAACUAUGCACGUCUUGACGGUACCUAAUCAGAAAGCCACGGCUAACUACGUG
rnacentral:rRNA from 1 species